rnacentral:rRNA from 1 species
UACGGGGGGAGCAAGCGUUGUUCGGAUUUACUGGGCGUAAAGGGCGCGUAGGCGGUCAGCACAAGUCAGUUGUGAAAUCUCCGGGCUUAACUCGGAAAGGUCAACUGAUACUGUGCGACUAGAGUGCAGAAGGGGCAACUGGAAUUCUCGGUGUAGCGGUGAAAUUCGUAGAUAUCGGGAGGAACACCAGUGGCGAAGGCGGCGACCUGGGCCAAUACUGACACUGAGGUGCGAAAGCGUGGGGAGCAAACAGG